ACGUGAAUAGUAUCAGAUACCAGUAUGUGUCAUUGGAUAUAUUAGUUUCUGUUUCUUGCGCAUGCAUUAGCUACUUUAUCGGAUCUUCAAUCAUUUUCCACCGAAAUAGUAUCAGAACCAAUUUUUGGGUUUUAUGCUGUACACACGAAACAUGCAUGUUGAUGUUCUAACGAAGAAGAAAAAGAAUAAUAAUAAGAAGAUGAAGAAGAAGAAGAAGAAGAGAAGAUGAGGAAUAUGAAUACGACCUUUGCAUUUGAGAACGUGAUGGCUUAGCUAGUGCCAGAUAUCAGGCUAGCUAUCACCUCGAUGUUGACGUGCCAUGUGCACCCUGCGCAAUUCAAG
rnacentral:lncRNA from 1 species